rnacentral:rRNA from 1 species
ACGAACGCUGGCGGCGUGCCUAAUACAUGCAAGUUGCGCGAUGAAGAUUGGUGCUUGCACCCAUUUGAAGAGCAGCGAACGGGUGAGUAACGCGUGGGGAAUCUGCCUUUGAGCGGGGGACAACAUUUGGAAACGAAUGCUAAUACCGCAUAGCAACUUUAAACAUAAGUUUUAAGUUUGAAAGAUGCAAUUGCAUCACUCAAAGAUGAUCCCGCGUUGUAUUAGCUAGUUGGUGAGGUAAAGGCUCACCAAGGCGAUGAUACAUAGCCGACCUGAGAGGGUGAUCGGCCACAUUGGGACUGAGACACGGCCCAAACUCCUACGGGAGGCAGCAGUAGGGAAUCUUCGGCAAUGGACGAAAGUCUGACCGAGCAACGCCGCGUGAGUGAAGAAGGUUUUCGGAUCGUAAAACUCUGUUGGUAGAGAAGAACGUUGGUGAGAGUGGAAAGCUCAUCAAGUGACGGUAACUACCCAGAAAGGGACGGCUAACUACGUG